AUGAGACUGUGGGGUCUUCUCCUUUGCCUGGAGACAGCUCCCCAAGGUGUCCUGUCCGAUGUGCAGCUGCAGGAGUCGGGCCCAGGACUGGUGAAGCCCUCACAGACCCUCUCCCUCACCUGCACCGUCUCUGGAUUCUCCAUCACAACCAGUGGUUAUGGUUGGGGCUGGAUCCGCCAGCCCACGGGGAAGAGCCUUGAGUGGAUGGGAUACACUAGUUAUGGUGGAAGCACAUAUUAUAACCCGUCGCUCAAGAGCCACACCUCCAUCACCAGAGACACGUCCAAGAACCAGUUCUCCCUGCAGCUGAGCUCUGUGACCGACGAAGACACAGGCGUGUAUUACUGUGCGAGAGACACAGGAGCAGGAGGAUUCUUUUAUGAUAUUUUCAUUGAGAACCUCAUCGCACUGCUGAGAUAUGUAAGAAGAGUUACUGAUUUUCAGUCUGUUCAGUCAUUUUCUUGUUGUCUGGAUGGGAGUGAUGACGUCCAAGCUUCUUACGUGCGAGACCUGAAGCCAGACCCCUUAUGUCGCACCUGA